rnacentral:rRNA from 1 species
UGCAAGUCGAGCGGAACGAUCCUAGCUUGCUAGGAGGCGUCGAGCGGCGGACGGGUGAGUAAUGCAUAGGAAUCUGCCCGGUAGUGGGGGAUAACCUGGGGAAACCCAGGCUAAUACCGCAUACGCCCUACGGGGGAAAGCAGGGGAUCUUCGGACCUUGCGCUAUCGGAUGAGCCUAUGUCGGAUUAGCUAGUUGGUGAGGUAACGGCUCACCAAGGCUGCGAUCCGUAGCUGGUCUGAGAGGAUGAUCAGCCACAUCGGGACUGAGACACGGCCCGAACUCCUACGGGAGGCAGCAGUGGGGAAUAUUGGACAAUGGGCGAAAGCCUGAUCCAGCCAUGCCGCGUGUGUGAAGAAGGCCUUCGGGUUGUAAAGCACUUUCAGUGAGGAAGAAAGCCUUGAGGUUAAUACCCUCGAGGGAGGACAUCACUCACAGAAGAAGCACCGGCUAACUCCGUGCCAGCAGCCGCGGUAAUACGGAGGGUGCGAGCGUUAAUCGGAAUUACUGGGCGUAAAGCGCGCGUAGGCGGCUUGAUAAGCCGGUUGUGAAAGCCCCGGGCUCAACCUGGGAACGGCAUCCGGAACUGUCAGGCUAGAGUGCAUGAGAGGAAGGUAGAAUUCCCGGUGUAGCGGUGAAAUGCGUACAGAUCGGGAGGAAUACCAGUGGCGAAGGCGGCCUUCUGGACUGACACUGACGCUGAGGUGCGAAAGCGUGGGUAGCAAACAGGAUUAGAUACCCUGGUAGUCCACGCCGUAUACGAUGUCGACUAGCCGUUGGGCUCCUUGAGAGCUUUGUG